GCCACUUGAUGGCUCUGCUGUCUGCUGGAUCCAGUCGUUCUAACAGUCUGGAUUUUGACCUGUUUCCCUCCCUUUGUGACUGGGAGAUACCGGCUUCAUUUUAGACUGCUCAGGCAGGGGAGACUGAACUCCGAAGAUGCUGCCUGGUGCUGCCCAGGAAUUCCUUGGAGAGUGGAUGUCACGACCAAACGGAAGAACAAAAGAACAAUUCUCAGAAGCACAGCAAAAAUGAAACCAAAUAAAAACCCCAUAAAAAUCCCUACGGGGCAGAGGAAAUACCAGCCUGAUGCCUUUUGUGCCUUGUGCUGGGUCAUAAAGGGCAGCUUUGCCAAGAAGUGGUGGUGAUGUGGCAAUGUUUGAACUUGAGAGAGAAUGUUCUGGAAAACAAUAAAAGGCAGAAUCCAUGUA